rnacentral:lncRNA from 1 species
ACCCACGUCUGUGACCUACACCACAGCUCACAGCAACGCUGGAUCCUUCACCCACUAAGUGAGGCCAGGGAUCCAACCCGAAACCUCACGGUUCCGAGUCAGACUCAUUUCCGCUGCGCCACGAUGGGAACUCCCACUCUGGUCAAUCUUGAUUCCUCCCCUCCCAAGGAGGAGCGCUCAGCCUCCUCUCCAGGACCAUUAGGCCCUGGGGGUUGUGAGGAAAAUCUCAAAAAUCCAGCUUGUUUUUUGUUCAUCCUUAUCCACGUGUUGACCUAAGGAAUUCAGGAUAUCUCAGAGAGCAAAAAUUUUCCAAAUAUGUCACUGUCUGACUAUUCUGAUGAGGCUGUAUAAAUACGGUGUUACCUUCGGACCCAAAUUUCCCUCCACAUGGAUGUCUUAAUGAAGGACCACCAGGAGGAGGCAAAGGCAUCAGGAACCCAUUCUGCAGAUGGAAGACCUCACGAUCUUCUCCAAGAUCCCCAGAGCCCAUGAACUCAUAUAAGUUGUCACGUAUCUGCAAGAGGAGGUCCCUGGCUCCCAGGGGUCCCUUCUCCAAAAGUGAAUAUUCUCUUUUUAUUCUUGUGGUGGAAGCAGCGUCCGCAUAGGACUUCUCUACUCUGAGUUUCUAGAAGCAAGAGAGUUGACCCACCUCAAUGUAGUCACAAGAUCUGUAGGAGAGUCCAUUACGGAUUGUGAGCUGGUACAUAGCAACAUUACAACAGCCAAAACAACCAACUCAAAUGCCCAUCAGUGCAUAAACAGAUAAACAACAUGAAUGCAGAAAAAGGAAUGAAGUACUGACACGCUCCAACAUGGGUGAACCCUGAGGACAUUAUGCGAAGUCAAAGAAGCCAGACACAAAAGACCACAUAUUAUAUGAUUCCACUUAGAUGAAAUGUCCAGAGCAGGCCAAUUUCUAGAGUUAGAGAGUAGAUUAAUGGUUGCUUAGGGCUGGUGGGGACAGUUGGGAGAAAUGGUGCCAUGGCUGCUAAUGGGUAGGGGGGUUCUUUUUGGGGUGAAAAUGUUCUAAUAUUGAUUGUGGUGAUGGUUGCACAACUCGGUGAAUAUACUAAAAACUAUUGAAUUGCACACUUUAAAUAUGACUUGUAUACCAAUAAAGUUGUUAAAAAGAAUAGAUCUAGAAAAGAGUUGGGGGGGUGAGGAAAAAAGAAUUGCUUUUGCUAUCUAAGUGUUUUCCCAUGUUAUCUAGUCCUGCAAACAGUCACCUUGCAGGAGAAGAAGAAAGCUCUUAACAGUGGGUUUAAGACAAAUGUCUGAUCAUUAACCCUUCCUCCCCCACCUCAGCAGAGAAUAGUCAGAUAUCAGAGUAGGCUGUAGCUGGGUAGCCUUUAAGACUCACUUUUGCAAACUCUGAGCUUCUCUAUUUCCUUCUUUCUUCUUCUCCUUAGGGACUCAACUGUCAUAUGGGGAGACCAAGUGGACCAGAGCUUGGCUUACAGAACUGGGACAACCAGUCUGUCUGGAAAGUUCCUUGGGUGCAGCACUGAUUCUGGGGACUUCAAGUGCAUGUUGAAUCAUGUGCUUGUCAAAUUCAAGGUUGCCCUGCAGCUUUUCUCUCUGCAGGAUGCUGGUCCCUUCCUGGAGAAAGCUUGUGGUCAAGAAGGGAGAUUGGCCAAUUUGUGUCAAGAAAGAGCUCAGGGAUGCAGGUCAAGUUCCUGCUUUCUUCUCGAUGAGGUAUUCAACUUGAGGCUGGCCAAGGGAUGUCAGCUAUGGAGGUAUGGCCCUAACCUUUUCACGUAUGCCACCAAAUUCAACAUGUAAAACAAACAACCGAUGCCAUUCUCUGUCAAACUGCACACUGAGAUUGUACCCCUCAAAGCAACGUGGGUCCAAUUUACUCUAAGAGCUACAAGACAUAGGGUAAGGCCACACUCAAGCCAUUGCCAAAGGAAGCAACAGAGUCUGCUGGAGUAUUCCAGAACUUUGCCUUGAUUAAGACAGAUGUAGUGGGGCAGAAACAGCUGGAUACAUAUACUCAUGCGGGGCAAACCAGGGUUAACCAUUAGUACUUUAGCUCCUGAAGACAGUGUCACAGUAUGGUUGUCAGGGUAAUAAAUGCUGGCUGGUUUCACAUUACUUUGAGUCUCUUGAUCCACUCAAAUAUGCCACCAAAAAUUCUAGUUUUGACAAAGCCGAGAGCCACAGAUUACCUACUUAUUCCCUAAAGUCCCCCUCUGAUUAAGAUCAUCAGGUAAAAUACUGGACCCCCAGUUAAAUUUGAAUUUGAGAGAAACAAGUAGAUUUUUAGUGUGAGCAUGCCCCAUGUAAUAAUGUUUAUGUGAAAUUCAAAUUUAAUUGGGAUUUUUUUUUUUUCAGGACUGCACCCUCGACAUAUGGAGGUUCCCAGGCUAGGGGCUGGAUUGGAGCUGUAGCCACUGGCCUAUGCCACAGCAACGCAGGAUGCAAAAUCACGGCAACACUGGGUCCUUAACCCACCGAGCGAGGCCAGGGAUCCAACCUGCGCCCUCACGGGAUGCUAUCUCAUCCUCAGCAUAUCCACUGAGGCCAUCUCUGUGUUCUUUAGUUUUACAGAGAGGGCUGAAAGCUAGAGGUGCUUCCCUGUCUCCAAUUCAGUUUCUGUGGUUCUGUGAUUUCAUAACAGAUACCCAUUAUGAGAUGGUAUAGAAACGCCAUUGGCACUUUAGCCCAGGUGAAAAUUCUGAAGCUCAGUUUGUUCUUUGAAUAGGUUUUAGAAUAAACUGGAGGGUGAGAGAGAGUUUGGGGAUGGAAAUUUAAUUUCAAAUACUCUCCAAAUUGACAAGGCGUCUCUAUAGUUACCACAGUAAUAAUGAUGAAAACAAAUACCUGCAAUUUCUGGAGGAUCUCUUAUUGGCCAGACAUUGAUCAGGAUGCUUCACACAUAUUAUCCUUUUGAACUCAGAGCAACCCAGGUGGCCAGGGACUACAUCCCCAUAUCACACACGAGCAGACUGAAGCGCAGGAUUUGCCGCUCCUAAGAGGACACAGGUGGUGAGCGGCAUGGCUGUUUUUCACACCCAGCUUUGUCUGACUGCAAAGCCUUUGCUCUUCCUGCUCUGAUAUCCUGCCAAGACUGCAAUGCAUAGUUCUGCAGAUUUCUUUCUCCUCUGGGCUCGGGCUUGUGAUGGAGAGUCCUCUGCCAAGUCACUCACAUGUCAAUGACACUUCAUUGCCAGUCUCAGCCACCCAGCAUUAUAAGGCCCUUGAAACCAGACUUUAAAAAAUAUUCACUUCCUUUUGGCUGUCUCAAGAAGUCAAAAAGCAGUUUCCAUUUCUUAAGACACUUACCUCUGGGUAGCUCACCUCGGGGGGGGGGGGCUUACUGGGGCUUUGGUGAUGAUAUUAAAUCCUCUCUAAGGCUCUAUGGAGCCCUCCUUGGAAGGAGGAAUAGGAAAACAAACCACGAUUUGUGAAAGGAAUAGAGGAGCUAUACCGACCCAGAAACCGUCUUUCAGAACCAAUCCAUUGCUCAUGUUUUAAGGUCCCUCACGCUAUCACCUCCUCCGGGAAACCUUCGGGGACCCACUCCCUCGACUUUGGCCCUGGCUCUGUUCUCCUUCUCACACUCCGCGGUUAGACAUUUUGUGGGAGUGUGUGCACUCACACCUCUUUCUUGAGACAGCGAGCUCCCUGGGCGGAGCAGAGUGGGUCCAGACUGGCUCAGCUUCUGCACUGAGUCUGGAGUAUCCAAAAGGAUGGGGUCCCGGGGAGCAGAGUAGGCAGUGUGUU